GGCGGCAGGCCUCAAACAUGCAAGUCUAGGGGUGUAGCAAUACACACCGGCGGACGGGUGCGUAACGCGUGGGAACAUACCUUUCGGUACGGAACAACCCAGGGAAACUUGGGCUAAUACCGUAUACGCCCUUACGGGGAAAGAUUUAUCGCCGAAGGAUUGGCCCGCGUUCGAUUAGCUAGUUGGUGGGGUAACGGCCCACCAAGGCGACGAUCGAUAGCUGUUCUGAGAGGAAGAUCAGCCACACUGGGACUGAGACACGGCCCAGACUCCUACGGGAGGCAGCAGUUGGGAAUCUUGGACAAUGGGGGAAACCCUGAUCCAGCCAUGCCGCGUGAGUGAUGAAGGCCUUCGGGUUGUAAAACUCUUUCGACGGGGACGAUAAUGACGGUACCCGUAGAAGAAGCUCCGGCUAACUUCGUGCCAGCAGCCGCGGUAAUACGAAGGGGGCUAGCGUUGUUCGGAAUUACUGGGCGUAAAGCGCGCGCAGGCGGUCUUCCAAGUCAGUGGUGAAAGCCUGGAGCUCAACUCCAGAACUGCCAUUGAAACUGUUA
rnacentral:rRNA from 1 species